GUGACAUUUAUCCAAGAGGCCUGAGCGUUACGAAUUGGGCUUUCUUUUCCUUUUGUUUUAGAUUUACCUAAAGGUUUUAAGUGAAUGUUGAAUGAAAUACAAAACAGAAUAUUUUUUGCUCCGAGAGAAUUCUUCCCGCCUUGUCAUUAACCUAGGGGCGGGGUGGGUGUGGACAGUGAACAGAAAAUAAACCAAGCGCUGGACAGAAAUGUAUAAUCAGUGGAAAAUGCAGCGGAAUGUUGUGUGAAAGCAGUAAAUGACCGAUGUAUAAUUUGAACUCCAUAGAAAGGGGAUUUAGAAGAAGGGAUACCAAACCCACUGUUCCUGGGGAAUAAAGUGAGUGCUACUGAUCGGCAACAGUGUGUCCUGCGGAGCGGGAGGAGGCAGCCUCCGGCCGCCUCGUGUCCCCAUCAGCUGCCAAGUCCCUUAUCUAGUCGUUCAAGUAUUUCUUGAGGCUCUUACUAUGUGUUAGGAACUCUCUAGGGCCAGGGAUUGUGAACAAAUCAAAAACCUCUGUCUUCGUGGAGCUCACAUUCUAAAUGGGGCAAAGAUAAGAGACUACACGUCAGAUAGUGAAGUGGUGGAGAAGAAAACAGGAUGGUCAGGAAAAGCCUGACCUGAGCCAAGCCUGAAGGAAGUGAGGAAGGAAGGCCAAGCAGCUAUCUGGGAGGAAGAAUUUUCCAGGUGGAAGGAGCACCGAGCGCAAGGAUCUGAGAUGGGAGUGUGCUUGGCGGGUUCAAGGACCAGCAAGGAAGCCACAGUGGCGAGAGCAAAGGGUAGGGUGAGGUCCAGACAUGAAAGGGGGCCAGUCUUGUAAGGCCUCCGAGGCCAAUGGAAGAACUUUGGCUUCCGCUGAGUGAAAUGGGGAGUCACAGCACGCAUAGUUUAAAGCAGAGGAGGAGUAUGGUCAAUCUGCAUCUUAGAGAAAUCCUCUUGCUGCUCUAUAAGAAUUUACAGUAAGUGUGUAUUAGAGGUGAGGGGAAGGGUGGGGCAAGAGCAGAAGCCGCGAGCCCAGUUAGGAGGCUGUUGAAAUGUUCCAGCCCAGAGAUGGUGGUGGCCAAGGUCGGGGUGUUACCAUGAAGGGAGUGACAAGUGGUUGAGUGCUUCAUACACUGUGGUGGUAGAACCAAAAGGAUUUGCUUAUCAGUUGUGUGUUACGUGUGGGAGAGGUCAAAGCUGACCCAAGGUGGUUCUAGACGGAAGCCCCAGAGCUAUGCUGAGCACUGCACUGAACACCCGCUGAGCCGAGAGGCAGAGAGGAGGGCAUGCUCCUUUAGCUGCUUGCAGCUCUUAGUGCACUCAGCCUGCCCGCUGUCACUGUCGGAAUCUCAGGCGCCACGCUCUGCCCACUGCAUUUUAACAAGAUCCUCGGCUAAUUUGUAUACACGCUGAAGUUUGGGGGGAAAAAAAUCACUGCUUUAUGCCUUAGAACUUGACCAAUGUCUUUAAGAUCACACAUGAAAUACUCUACCAGACAAAUUUUCCGCAGACCUACAGCAUCAGAAGCCUCAGGGUGGAGUCCCGCACUCUGUUUUAACAUGUCCUCGGGGUGAGACUGAUGGGAGCUAAAGCGUGAGAACCAAUGACCUGGAGGCCCCUGAUGAUUCAGGUUUGAGCUGAAGAGGGCUUGUGGUAAGGCGUGAGGAGGAGAGGCCACUUCUGCGUUUCCUUGGCUCAUUGCACAGUAGUAGUUACCAAAGCAUGAAGACUCGUGUUCAGCUAAAUUAGGCUUUUCUUCAAGGAAAAAAGAAAGAUUGUUGAGAGGGAGCAGGAUAGAUGACAACACAGACAGCAGAUUCUCAGUUGGGGUCCAUCUCGCAGCCGUCUGUGUAUCCAGAUAGGCUGGGUUAUGCUGCAGUAACAGUCCCGAAAGCUCUGUGACUUCAAACAGGGAUCUGCAGACUACAGUCCUAGGGCCACGUGGCCCUCCCACUGUUUUUGUAAAUAAAGUUUUUUGGGACACAGCCACAUCCAUUCAUGUACAUAUUUUCUAUGGCCACUUUCCUGCCACAGCAGAGCAGAGUUGAGUAGUCGUGACAGAGACAGCAUGGUGUGCAAAACCUAAAAUACUAUCUCAUACUUUACAGAAGUAGUUUGCCAAUCCCUGGCUUAAAACAUCCAUCAUGGCUCAGCAGGAGGGCCCUACUCAGAGUAGUCAUUUGCUAGAUUCAGGCUGAUGGAGAAAGCAAGCUCAAGCGUUGAUGAUUAGCUUGCUGUAAGAAAAAAGAACUUGGGAGUAUCUCAAGUAGUAGUCAGUUAAAUACUCCAGACAGGUGGGUUUGCGUCACGUGCACCCACACCUCAUUGGCCAGACAGAGUCACAUGAUGCCAGGCAACCAAGAGAUGCUGUCCUAUCAGAUCCCUAGUAGGAAGCUAAGUGAACCAGAAACGUUUGGGGAACAUGCAUUGAAGCAUACAUAGCUGUGGUGCGCUCACUUCCUACAAUAUGUCAUCCCAUCCCAUUUCCGUGGUGUUGUGACUUUCUUGCAAUCGUUCAGGUCAGCACUUGCUCCAGGAAAACCAAUGAAUUUCAGGCAAAACAGUGUCUUUAGUCUGACUUCCUGCCCAGUCGAAUGCCAUGGUCCCAGCAAUCAAAAUUUGUCUAUUUCCUACCUGACAAAAGGGGACUGAAGCUAUAUUUAUGUGAAUUUUUAAUACUUUCCUGUCCUCUUUUUUUUUUUUUUACCUUUUUUUCUAAUCCAAAGCCAUGCAGUGGCUUGGGGUCAUUGUAUCACUGAAUAAAUAGGAAAAUUAAAGGUUUUUCCCAGAAAACCAGUGGGAGAGCAGAGUACAUCUAUAAAUGAAAAAUGCUUUCUCCAAAAACCUUGGUUUUAAGGUAUAGCCAAUAUUAAUAUGUUUUAAUAACAGCAAUCUCCCAAGACUUCUGACGUUCACUUGUUUAAUUCAUGAGACCACAGCACUCUGAAGUCUCCACAGGCGAGUGAAUGAAUAAUUGAACUACUUAUCCUGAUAAUUGUGGCAAAAUAGUUAAGCUGCUUCAACUUGAAUCACCCGAUAAACUAAUGUCAAGCAUGUUUCUAGCAAAAGAGGGGAACUUCCAUCUGAAUUACCUUAACUGCCUCUCUGCCAGGGUAACAGCGGGAAGCCCAGCCUAGCUGUGGACUUCACUGCUCACACAGCUAAGGCUCUUCUCUUCCGGUUGUUUUACUACAAGUCAGCAGCAGACAUUUGUAUCAUAAUUUUCCAUUACUGCCUUUUUAUGAUAAUUAAUCCCAUAAUUGUCUGUGUGUCCAUGAGCCAGCAUUAGACUCUGAGCUUUUAAAGGGAAGAAAUCAGUUGUUUGGAUUUCAUCUCUGUAUCCUCUGAAGUAGUAAUAUGCCUGGCACAAAUGUUUUGUCAAUAAAUAUUGCCUACUGUAUUAACCUAUCGGUCCAUGCUGCCCCUUUGCCCUGUUACAUUGUGGUCAUCAGCUGAAGUGGCAUUCUUUUCCACUUACGUUUUCUUAUGUCUGCCUUUUCUUAAUUGUAAUAUUACGCUUAGAAAUACAGCUUUAUAUUUUGUAGAGGUAGAAAAAGUCCAGAAUAGUUUUUCAGGUUUCACAAAUUACUGUUGUUUCUUAUUGAACACUCUUAGAAGCCAUGCACUGCUUUCAACAUAUAAGCAAACAUAACUUUGAGCACAGGCGUUAAAAUGCUCCAUAGUUACUUAUGUGAACUGUGCAUUCUCUUAACUUCGUGUUUCUAUUUCAGUGGUUCUCCACCUGUAGUGAUUUUGCACCACUGCCAGGACGUUUGGCAAUGUCUGGAGGUGUUCUUAAGUUGUCACAACUUGGCAGGGAGGUGCUCAGGCAUCUAGUGGGUGGAGGCCAAGGAUGCUUCCAAACAUCCUGCAAUGCACAGGACAGCACAGACUUAUCCAGGCCAAAACGCCAAUAAUGCUGAAGGUGGGAAACUGUGUUCUAUUUUAUGAGACCAAAAAGGUAUUCAUUUGAUUCAGCACCUUGCAAGUGACAGUAGUGAGAUGACACAGGCAAAAACACACACAAAAAAAGUGUCUUUAGAAAGAAAGUGUGGAAGGAUGUCACACUAAACUCUGCAUCUCGGCACUGAUACGCAUUCAUGGUCUUUUUCAGCCAAUAUAUACUAUAUAUAUUCAUUUCUCCCACGAAUACAUGCAACCCACUGUGAACAAUGGUCUUCUGAGAAAAAGAAUUUCCUUCAAAGUGACAACAGCUCCACAAGUUUUAGAAGGAAUAAAACUUUAUGUAUCUCAAAGUUACAUCCUGGGAGAAGCUAAGUACAGGAUAGAUGGAAAAGGACCGCAAACUCCAGUCGCUGAUCUAGGAAGGAGCAGUGGCAUUCCAAGAUGGGAGAGAAAAUGUUGAGAGAAAUUUGCUGAGGAAAGAAUCCAAGCAGAGUGGUGACUGGAAGGAGAGUAGCAGAGGAGAUGAUCGCAGAGGAUAUCGCACAGGGUAGUCACACUCCAUUAAGACGCUGCUUCCAGAGGAGACUUUUCUCUAGGCCCUUCUUGUCUAGACCGCGUGCCUCUGGCAGUCCUGUCCUGCUGCAAGACCCGUGUUCCUUGGCUUUCUUUGGAGUCAGAGCUGGAGAUGCUGCUUCUCCUGAAUGCGGUGCUAACAUCUACCUAAAGAAGAAAGAGGCCAGUUCUUUAGGACGGGGCAAGUUGGUUUGACGAGAGAAAGAGAAGAGGUGAUCAUGUGACAAGAAAUAGGAAAGUCUUACACCAGACAACUUUGAUGGAGGAAGAAGUGCACGACCACGACCACAGCGAGAGGGUGGGCCCCUGGAACCCGGAACGUCCUGCUUACUCCCACGGAGCUGGGCUCAGACUGUACGCAGGGCUCCUUAGAGGUCAUGCAGAUCGGGGAAAAUGGGCAACACUCAUUAAGUGUUUCGUGCCUAGAGUACCUGCUGCUGGACUCCUUUCAUCCCUGUGGAGCAGGCCCCUUCACCAGCUUCAUCUUACAGGUGAAAACAUCAAGGCUCAGGGAAGUUAAGCAACUUUUCCGAGAGCACCCAUCUAGUAAGUCCUCGAGCCGGGAUUCAAACUCUUGUCUCUUCAACCCUAGAGCUCACGCUCGUAACUAAUGGCGCAUACAACCGUUUUUACUCCACAACGCACGUCCAAACCUAACCAACACGUGAGAAACGCAGCCUGAGUCUCAGAAGCAAGAGCAUCAACAAAGAAGCUGCCUAAACAAGUGAAACCAAGCCUGCAGAACUGCAAGGCCACAUGUCUAACAGACGUGAUAAUGACUGUACACCCUCUCUAUUCCUUUCUUCACAAAGGGCUGACCCACCCAUGUGAAAACCUGCCGGGGACCUCAGCCUUCAGCUCUAGGAUUUGUUUCAGCAUUCCCCUUUCUGCCUGGUUAGGUCCCCGGGCCCUUGCUGUCAUCUUCUGAGUACGUUUUUCCUCCUUCUGAUUCCAUUUCUUAACUCCAGAUUCGGGCCCUCCACACUUCUCACUGUACCCAUUUCAACAUGCCCUUUGGGCUCUAGCCAGCAUUCCCUCUUGGAAAUGAUCUUAACACGACCUUGUGGGGCCACAGGGGAGAGGCUUGGCUUGGCUCCCUGCCUGGGCCUCAGGCUCUGCCACACAAGGAGACGCCCACUCUCAGGACAGCGGAAGAGGACACACAUUCACAUUCGUAUAAAGCUCAUUGUUUACAGAACAUUUGAAAAAUAUCCUGUGGUGUUUUUAGGAGAAGACAGAGCAGGUACUAUUUUCUCCAUUUUUUUUUAAAUGUCACAAACAUUUCAAGCAUACAAGAGAAAUACACAUAUAGAGACAUCCAUGAACACUGCCCAGACUUGACACAUUUACAUUUAUUUUUCCUUAAAGAAAUAAAAUGUUACAGAUAUGAUUGAAUAUCUUCCCAUCCCAUUUCCCCCCUCCUUCCCCAGAGAACCCACGAUCCUUAAAUUGAUCUGAAUCAUGGCAUCCAGGUUUUUAAAUUGUCUGUAUCUAUCUAUCUCUCUACCUGGAAUCUGCAAUGGAUACUAUUGUUCUGUGUUCCUAAAACUUUGACACAAUAUCUUACUAUAUGUAUCCUUUUGCAACUUGCUUUUUUUUUUCAAUUAGUCUUUUUUUUAAUUGAUUGAUUUUUUUUUUUCAGAUUCAGAUUUGUGUUUGUUUGUUUUCCCUUUGGAAUCCUAGUUGGGUUUUUUUGGCAGUAGCAUUGGUUUAUAACAUUAUAUAAAUUUCGGGUGUCCAUCAUUAUAUUUCAGUUUCUGUGUAGAUUGCAUCAUGUUCACCACCCAAAGACUAAUUACCAUCCAUCACCACACACAGGUGCCUAAUCACCCCUUUCGCCCUCCUGCCUCCCCGCUUCCCCUCUGGUAACCACCAGUCCAAUCCCUGUCUCUGGGUGUUUGCCUGCUGUUGUUUGCAACUUGCUUUUUCAGUGUUUUGUUUCUAAGAUUUAUCUUUGUUGAAACAUGUAUCUAAGUUCAUUUAUUUCACCUACUAGAGUGUCUCUUUUUGCUGUAUGCGUAUACACAUACAUAUGUUACUUAUCUAGUUUCCUACUGAAAGAAAUUUACAUAACUUUCUUUUUUGCACCGUUUUGAAAGAUACUGCAAUGACCAGUGUUGCACACUGUUCUUGUAGACAUGUGCUGGACUUUUUCUAGUGCAAAUUCCUGGAAGUAGAAUUGCUAGGUCAUAGGAUAUGUGCAGAACUACAAUUUUAGAAGACACUGCCAAUUGCUCUCCCAAGAGGUUGUACCAAUUUGCAUUUCCAUCAUCUGAGUUUGAGAAUUCCCAUUUCCUUUCAUCCUUGACAACUUUCUGCAUUGUCAGAUGUUUUGAUUUUUAUCAAUCUGUCCACUAAAAAAUAAUUUCACAUUGUUUUAUCAUGGGUAGAUUUUUAAAUUACUGAUUCAAUUUCUUUAUUGACUAUAAAGUCCACUGAAGUUUUCUAUUUCUUCUUGACUCAAUUUUGGUGAUUUAUAGUUUGCAAAAAAACCUGCUCAUUUCUUCCACAUUGCAAAUGUCUUGGCCUAAAGUUGAUUAUGAUAUUUUCUUACUAGUUUUAAAUUUAUUCUAAUUCUAUACCCCUUUUCCUUCCUGAUAUCAUUUAUGUCUUCUCUUUUUAUUUUAAUGGAUCCCGCUAGAGGAUUGUCUAGUAUAUUAAUCUUUUCAAAACACGAGUUUUGGUACUGUUGACCCUGUCUUCUUCCCUUAUUUUCUGUUGCGUUAAUUUCUGUACCUAUCCUUGGUCUUCUUUUUUCCCCUUUUUUGAGCACAAAUUCUUUGGUUCUUUUUGUACUUUCUUUAGUUGCAUGAUAAAUUAAUUUUCAAUCUUUUUUUCUAAUACAUGCAUUAAGGUCGUAAAUUUCUCUUCAAAAACUGCAUUAGCUGUACGACAGUUCUUUCGUUGUAAUUUUGUCCUAAAUAUUUAAUAAUUUUAUUGUGAUUUCUUAAUCAAUGUAUUUAUUUAUAAAAAUGUUUUAAUUUUUCUAACUAUAUUAGAGGUACAGUAUAACGGGGUGAUUGCUUACGUUUUUGCUAAAGGAUUCUUAAUUUCAUUGUAUUUUAGACAGAUAAUGUAGUUUGAAUGAUAUAAAUUAUUUUGUAUUUGUUGAGACUUCUCUGCAGCAUAGGCUGGGACCUGUGUUGGUAAAUGUUUCGUGUGUACUUGAAAAGAAUGUAUUAUAUUGAACUAUUAAGCACAGAAUUUCCUUUGCUUCUUUGUUUGUUUGUUUUUGGUGAGGCAGAUUGUCCCUAAGCUAACAUCUUAAGCACAAAGUUUUUUUGUUUCUGUUUUUUGUGUGUGUUUUUGAGGAAGAUCAGCCCUGAGCUAACAUCUGCUCUCAAUCCUUCUCUUUUUGCUGAGGAAGACUGGCCCUGAGCUAGCAUCUGUGCCCAUCUUCCUCCACUUUAUAUGUGGGACGCCUACCACAGCAUGGCUUGCCAAGCAGUGCCAUGUUCGCACCCAGGAUCCAAACCAGUGAAUCCCAGGCCACCGAAGUGGAACGUAUGAACUUAACCACUGUGACACUGGGCUGGCCCUUAAUAAGCACAAAGUUUUAUAUAAGUCAUUUGAUUAAAUUUUUUCACAUUCCAAGCAUUGUUAAUAAUUUUCUUUUGUCUUCUUUAUCAGUUUCUGAAAGCAGUACAUUAAAAUUUCCCAUCUAUAAUGGGGAAUUGUCAAUUUCUUUCUGUAAUUCUGUCCAUUUCUGCUAUAAGUAUUUUGAGGCCAUGUUAGUAGGUACAUAUAAGUCUGGAAAUGUUUAUAACUGUCUGUAAAUUACUCAUUUUAUCAUUCCAUAAACACCUUCUAGUGAUGCGUUUUAAAUUUUUGGAGUCCAUUUUAUGUGAUAAUAAUGUAGCCAUGUCAGAUUUCCUUCAGGUAGUUUCUGUCUGAGAGGUAGGUCAUUUCAGUGUAUUUAGUUAGAUGGUCUGUAUCCUUUUUAAAUGGUGUGUCUUGUAAACAGCAAAUAGUGCAUUGUUCUUCUUCUUUAAAAUCGGGAGGUCUCUGCCUUCCAGCUGGUGAACUGAACCCUUUUCCAUUUAUUGUUAUUAUUGAUGCCUGUGGGAUUGUUCCUACCCUCCUACUUUGGCUCUUCCUGCCCUGCUCGAUUAUCUCCCUUCGCUCAGUCCUGCCUUCCAUUGAGUCGACUGGGUUUUCUGUUUCCUCUGCUUUUCUCUUCUACUCAUUUGAAAGUUAUGUAUUCUAUUUUCAUUCUUAUGUCAGUUACUCAAUAAAAGGGAUAACUAUCUUUACAAAGUUUAAA
rnacentral:lncRNA from 1 species